rnacentral:rRNA from 1 species
GUGAUUCGUCACACUAUCAUUAACUGAAUCCAUAGGUUAAUGAGGCGAACCGGGGGAACUGAAACAUCUAAGUACCCCGAGGAAAAGAAAUCAACCGAGAUUCCCCCAGUAGCGGCGAGCGAACGGGGAGCAGCCCAGAGCCUGAAUCAGUGUGUGUGUUAGUGGAAGCGUCUGGAAAGGCGCGUGAUACAGGGUGACAGCCCCGUACACAAAAAUGCACAUGCUGUGAGCUCGAUGAGUAGGGCGGGACACGUGGUAUCCUGUCUGAAUAUGGGGGGACCAUCCUCCAAGGCUAAAUACUCCUGACUGACCGAUAGUGAACCAGUACCGUGAGGGAAAGGCGAAAAGAACCCCGGCGAGGGGAGUGAAAAAGAACCUGAAACCGUGUACGUACAAGCAGUGGGAGCACGCUUAGGCGUGUGACUGCGUACCUUUUGUAUAAUGGGUCAGCGACUUAUAUUCUGUAGCAAGGUUAACCGAAUAGGGGAGCCGAAGGGAAACCGAGUCUUAACUGGGCGUUAAGUUGCAGGGUAUAGACCCGAAACCCGGUGAUCUAGCCAUGGGCAGGUUGAAGGUUGGGUAACACUAACUGGAGGACCGAACCGACUAAUGUUGAAAAAUUAGCGGAUGACUUGUGGCUGGGGGUGAAAGGCCAAUCAAACCGGGAGAUAGCUGGUUCUCCCCGAAAGCUAUUUAGGUAGCGCCUCGUGAAUUCAUCUCCGGGGGUAGAGCACUGUUUCGGCAAGGGGGUCAUCCCGACUUACCAACCCGAUGCAAACUGCGAAUACCGGAGAAUGUUAUCACGGGAGACACACGGCGGGUGCUAACGUCCGUCGUGAAGAGGGAAACAACCCAGACCGCCAGCUAAGGUCCCAAAGUCAUGGUUAAGUGGGAAACGAUGUGGGAAGGCCCAGACAGCCAGGAUGUUGGCUUAGAAGCAGCCAUCAUUUAAAGAAAGCGUAAUAGCUCACUGGUCGAGUCGGCCUGCGCGGAAGAUGUAACGGGGCUAAACCAUGCACCGAAGCUGCGGCAGCGACGCUUAUGCGUUGUUGGGUAGGGGAGCGUUCUGUAAGCCUGUGAAGGUGUACUGUGAGGUAUGCUGGAGGUAUCAGAAGUGCGAAUGCUGACAUAAGUAACGAUAAAGCGGGUGAAAAGCCCGCUCGCCGGAAGACCAAGGGUUCCUGUCCAACGUUAAUCGGGGCAGGGUGAGUCGACCCCUAAGGCGAGGCCGAAAGGCGUAGUCGAUGGGAAACAGGUUAAUAUUCCUGUACUUGGUGUUACUGCGAAGGGGGGACGGAGAAGGCUAUGUUGGCCGGGCGACGGUUGUCCCGGUUUAAGCGUGUAGGCUGGUUUUCCAGGCAAAUCCGGAAAAUCAAGGCUGAGGCGUGAUGACGAGGCACUACGGUGCUGAAGCAACAAAUGCCCUGCUUCCAGGAAAAGCCUCUAAGCAUCAGGUAACAUCAAAUCGUACCCCAAACCGACACAGGUGGUCAGGUAGAGAAUACCAAGGCGCUUGAGAGAACUCGGGUGAAGGAACUAGGCAAAAUGGUGCCGUAACUUCGGGAGAAGGCACGCUGAUAUGUAGGUGAAGUCCCUCGCGGAUGGAGCUGAAAUCAGUCGAAGAUACCAGCUGGCUGCAACUGUUUAUUAAAAACACAGCACUGUGCAAACACGAAAGUGGACGUAUACGGUGUGACGCCUGCCCGGUGC